CGUGUAGGCGGCCAGGUAGGUCCGUUGUGAAAACUCGAGGCUCAACCUCGGGACGUCGAUGGAAACCAUCUGGCUAGAGUCCGGAAGAGGAGAGUGGAAUUCCUGGUGUAGCGGUGAAAUGCGCAGAUAUCAGGAAGAACACCUAUGGCGAAGGCAGCUCUCUGGGACGGUACUGACGCUGAGACGCGAAAGCGUGGGGAGCGAACA
rnacentral:rRNA from 1 species